GACGAACGCUGGCGGCGUGCUUAACACAUGCAAGUCGAACGGAAAGGCCCUGCUUUUGUGGGGUGCUCGAGUGGCGAACGGGUGAGUAACACGUGAGUAACCUGCCCUUGACUUUGGGAUAACUUCAGGAAACGGGGGCUAAUACCGGAUAGGAGCUCCUGCUGCAGGGGGGGGGUGGGAAGGUUUCGGCGGUUGGGGAUGGACUCGCGGCUUAUCAGCUUGUUGGUGGGGUAGUGGCUUACCAAGGCUUUGACGGGUAGCCGGCCUGAGAGGGUGACCGGCCACAUUGGGACUGAGAUACGGCCCAGACUCCUACGGGAGGCAGCAGUGGGGAAUAUUGCACAAUGGGCGGAAGCCUGAUGCAGCAACGCCGCGUGCGGGAUGACGGCCUUCGGGUUGUAAACCGCUUUCGCCUGUGACGAAGCGUGAGUGACGGUAAUGGGUAAAGAAGCACCGGCUAACUACGUG
rnacentral:rRNA from 1 species